UAUUCUGCCCUACGGGGAAGGAUGAGAAGCUUCGACUAAGGUUCGACUCGAGCGUCAGCGAGAGAACGUUGCCGCAGGCAACGGCCCGAAGGGCAAGGCGCUUUAGCGCCGAGUAAUCCUUCCCCCGCUACUG
rnacentral:sRNA from 1 species